UACGGGGGGAGCAAGCGUUGUUCGGAUUUACUGGGCGUAAAGGGCGCGUAGGCGGUAGCACAAGUCAGUUGUGAAAUCUCCGGGCUUAACUCGGAAAGGUCAACUGAUACUGUGCGACUAGAGUGCGGAAGGGGCAACUGGAAUUCUCGGUGUAGCGGUGAAAUGCGUAGAUAUCGAGAGGAACACCUGCGGCGAAGGCGGCAUCCUGGACCAACACUGACACUGAGGAGCGAAAGCCAGGGAGCAAACGGG
rnacentral:rRNA from 1 species